rnacentral:rRNA from 2 species
GACUGAGGGGGGCUGCUCCUAGUACGAGAGGACCGGAGUGGACGCAUCACUGGUGUUCGGGUUGUCAUGCCAAUGGCACUGCCCGGUAGCUAAAUGCGGAAAAGAUAAGUGCUGAAAGCAUCUAAGCACGAAACUUGCCCCGAGAUGAGUCUUCCCUGAGACUUUGAGUCUCCUGAAGGAACGUUAAAGACGAUGACGUUGAUAGGCCGGGUGUGUAAGCGCAGCGAUGCGUUGAGCUAACCGGUACUAAUGAACCGUGAGGCUUAACCUUACAACGCCGAAGGUGUUU